ensembl:rRNA 5S_rRNA 5S ribosomal RNA
GUCUACAGCCAAAACACAUUGAAUGUGCCCAAUCUCAUCUGAUCUCAGAAACUAAGCAGGAUUGGACCUGAUUAGUACUUGGAUGAGAGACCACUUGUGAAGACUGGGUGCUGCAGGCU